UACGAAGGGGGCUAGCGUUGCUCGGAAUCACUGGGCGUAAAGCGCACGUAGGCGGAUCUUUAAGUCAGGGGUGAAAUCCUGGAGCUCAACUCCAGAACUGCCUUUGAUACUGGGAUCUCGAGUCCGGGAGAGGUGAGUGGAACUCCGAGUGUAGAGGUGAAAAUUCGUAGAUAUUCGGAAGAACACCAGUGGCGAAGGCGGCUCACUGGCCCGGUACUGACGCUGAGGUGCGAAAGCGUGGGGAGCAAACAGG
rnacentral:rRNA from 1 species